GCCCGCAGCCGCGCGCAACCGGGGAGGCGGGAGCGGGAGCGGUAGGCCCCGCCCACAGAGGAGGGUACCCCGCCGGAAGCCCCCUGCUCUGUGGGAACCGGAGGGAGGACAGCGCGAGGUCCCCGGACAAAGCGUGGCGCAUAAGUCCGGCCCGUAACUUGGUGGGCAGGCAACUUAGGGGAUGUGGGCCUGGUUAUAGCUGAGCAUGCUUUUCUAUUCCUCCCAGACCACAGUUCUUCAGACCUGGAGCCACUUUCAGAGAAGAGUAUAAGUUGCACUGAAUUGAAAAAGGGAAAAGUUUAGGACUGCAGAAGAUGGAAUUCCUGGGGACGUUAAACUGGGCUAAGAUGGAGCAGAUAAGAUUUCCUUAAUUAGAGCAAGACACACCUAGUAUCUAGAGCCUGGAAGUCUUGGUCAAGGAUUCUCCCUAACAUCUCAGUUUCUCAGCACUAACAUUCCUGCUACUAAAAUGAAGUGAGAAAUUAAUUUCUGAAGUUAAGUAAAGAAAUAAACUAAAAUUCCUAGAAAAGAGGUAAGAAGAAUGAGCCUUUGAAAAAUGUCUUCACAAAGACUGGCAUGAUGGCAUGGAAGAAAGAGCCCCAGUAUCCAGUAUACAUCUCAAGGUCAACUUGUCCAAAACAGAGCUACUGAUGAUUUUCCCCUUGAAAUCUACUCUUCCUACAGCUUAUUCAUCUCAAA
rnacentral:lncRNA from 1 species